rnacentral:rRNA from 1 species
GCUAAAAAUUUAGCCCCUCUCUUUCCUAAUGUAAACUUAAGAACUUUUAUUACAAACUAAAACAUUUUUAAACUAUAGUAAAGGCGAUUAAAAUAUUAACCGGAGCAAUAAAAAUAGUACCGCAAGGGAAAAAUGAAAUAAAAAUGAAAAAAUUAUUAAGCCCCUCAAAGUAGAGAAUUAACCUCGUACCUUUUGCAUCAUGGUUUAACUAGUUAAACUAGAGCAAAAUGAUUUACAGUUUUAUUUCCCGAAACUAAGCGAGCUACUUUUGGGCAGCCAAAUGAGCAAACCCGUCUCUGUAGCAAAAGAGUGGGAAGACCUAAAAGUAGAGGUGAUAGACCUAACGAGCCUAGUAAUAGCUGGUUACUCAAAAAAAGAAUUUUAGUUCGACCUAAAGUUUUAUUUAUAGUAAAAUAUUAUUUCUUAACUUUAGAGCAAUUCAAAUAAGGUACAGCCUAUUUGAAACAGGAUACAACCUAAACUACUGGGUAAACCAAUGUAUAAUUUAAUUAAGUAGGCCUAAAAGCAGCCACCUUUAAAAUAGCGUCAUAGCCUAAUUUUAUAAACAUCUAAUUUCUUUAAUAAUAACGAACCCAUUAUUUAUAUUGAGUAAUUCUAUACCCUUAUAGAAACUAUUAUGUUAAAACCAGUAACAAGAAGAAGACCUUCUCUUUAAUGUAAGUGUCAAUCAGAUAGGACUAACCACUGAUAAUUAACAUUAAUAAUAAUAAUUUAGUAACUUAUCAAGAAAACCCUAACAAAUUUUAUGUUAACCUAACACAAGAGCAUUUUAAGAAAGAUUAAAAGAAAAAGAAGGAACUCGGCAAAUAUAAACCUCGCCUGUUUACCAAAAACAUCGCCUCUUGACACUACAUAUGAGGUCCAGCCUGCCCAGUGACAUUGUUCAACGGCCGCGGUAUCCUAACCGUGCGAAGGUAGCGUAAUCACUUGUUCUUUAAAUAAGGACUAGUAUGAAUGGCACCACGAAGGUUCUACUGUCUCCUUUUUUUAAUCAGUGAAACUAAUCUUCCCGUGAAGAAGCGGGAAUAAACUUAUAAGACGAGAAGACCCUAUGGAGCUUUAAACUAUUUAUCAAUUGUUUAUUUAUUUUCACUAUUUCAGAGCCAUAUCUUUUAUUAUAGCUUUUUGAUAAUAAGUUUUAGGUUGGGGUGACCGCGGAGCAAAAAAUAACCUCCAUAUUGAAAGGAAACCUUUCCUGAGCAAAAAACUACAAUUUUAUGCACCAAUAUAUUGACAUUAAUUGACCCAAUAAUUUGAUCAACGAACCAAGUUACCCUAGGGAUAACAGCGCAAUCUACUUCAAGAGCCCCUAUCGACAAGUAGGUUUACGACCUCGAUGUUGGAUCAGGGUAUCCUAGUGGUGCAGCCGCUACUAAAGGUUCGUUUGUUCAACGAUUAAAACCCU